GACGAACGUUGGCGGCGUGCUUAAUACAUGCAAGUCAACUGAAGCACCGGUAGUAAUACUGGUGUGGAGGUGGCGCACGGGUGAGUAACAUGUAGGUAAUCUGCCUUCAGGUCUGACAUAACCCCGAGAAAUCGGGGCUAAUAGCAGAUGAUGCAGCGGCUUGACAUCAAGACAGUUGUUAAAGCGACCGAGCAAUCGGUGGCGCCUGAAGANGAGCCUGCGUCUGAUUAGCUAGUUGGCGGAGUAACAGCCCACCAAGGCUACGAUCAGUAGCUGGUCUGAGAGGAUGAUCAGCCACACUGGAACUGAGACACGGUCCAGACUCCUACGGGAGGCAGCAGUAAGGAAUAUUGCUCAAUGGGAGAAAUCCUGAAGCAGCAACGCCGCGU
rnacentral:rRNA from 1 species